rnacentral:rRNA from 1 species
AUUGAACGCUGGCGGCAGGCCUAACACAUGCAAGUCGAGCGGUAGAGAGGUGCUUGUAUCUCUUGAGAGCGGCGGACGGGUGAGUAAUGCCUAGGAAUCUGCCUGGUAGUGGGGGAUAACGCUCGGAAACGGACGCUAAUACCGCAUACGUCCUACGGGAGAAAGCAGGGGACCUUCGGGCCUUGCGCUAUCAGAUGGGCCUGGGUCGGAGUAGCUAGGUGGUGAGGUAAUGGCUCACGAAGGGGCCGAUCCGUAACUGGUCUGAGAGGAUGGGCGGUCAGACGGGAACUGAGACAGGGGCCAGACUCCUACGGGAGGCAGCAGUGGGGAAUAGUGGACAAUGGGCGAAAGCCUGAUCCAGCGAUGCGGCGUGUGUGAAGAAGGUCGUCGGAUUGUAGAGCACUUUAGGUUGGGAGGAAGGGUCGUUACCUAAUACGUGGCGAUUUUGACGUUACCGACAGAAUAAGCACCGGCUAACUCUGUGCCAGCCGCCGCCGUAAUAC